rnacentral:lncRNA from 1 species
AUGGGAGAGAUUCAGGUAGAUUUGAACUGUCAUCAUCAAUCAAGACCAAGGAGAAGGCUGCUUUCCAGGAUGUACACAUGGCCUCUGUUUGUUGUUGCUGUUUUGCUUCUUUUAAGAGCUCAACAGAACCCUGUAAUAUACAUGAACAAGUUUCUGGAAGUUAAGAGGGUUGAAGUUCGGGAUAGAAAUGUAAAUGUGUUCGGACAUACUGAGAAAUAAAUCACAUUGAAGAGAUGGAGAAAGGAGUUGCUGGAGAGGCAAAAUGAAAAGGCAGAUGCUAAGGAACUGCACAAAAAGAAAAAAUGUAUCCUAAUUGGGGCAGUGUGAACUUGUCAGACAGGGAAGAAGCAUGAAGUCAUAAAUUGCUUGGAGAAUUAUAGCAGUACCUUGACAUAGUAGGAAAAAGAAAGCUUAUGUGUACUCAAGAUCUGAAUUCAAGUUCUGGCUCUAUCUCUUACUGGAUGUGAGAUGCUGGACAAGGUCCUUCUCUAUUUCAAUUCUGUCAUUCAAAUCUAUGAAUUCAAAAAUUUGAAUUAACCACCAAAGCCCCCUUUGGCUGUCAAUUUUAAUCUGCAGUGACAUCCUGGUGGGUUGAAAUUUAAGACAGUCAUUAAUGGAUAAUAAACAAAGACCAUUUGUGUAGGAGUUUACCCCAUGUGUAUGGGUCUUAUUCUUAGUAAUUUGGGAAAAUAUAGAAUGUGAAUGGGGCAAUCUUGAAUUGUGAGGAGGAGCUCAUUUUAUCAGGCAAGAUCCCGAUUUUCAAAUCGGUACCUGAAUGUUGCUUAUUUGAUUAAACUCUGGUAUACAGAAAGCAUUAGCUUCAGCGUUAUGCCUCUACUACAUAGGAGAAGAACUAAAUUAGAAGGAAAUAGAUGUUUGACUGACUUAGAGAAAUAUUGAAAGAGUGGAUUGAUGAUGCUUUCCAGGACCAUUUAAUUUGACUGAUAUAAUAAAAAUCUUGGCAGUAAUGAGAGUCUUCUGAAUUAAAACCAGCCACGUUUUCUCAUUAAUAUAUUACUAUUGGUGAAAUUUUGUUUUAGAUGGUCUUCCAAAGCAGGAAAUAUUUCCAAUAUAAUUAAUUAUCACAGGCCAGGCGUGGUGAUUCAUGCCUGUAAUCCUGGCACUUUGGGAGGCCAAGGCGGGUGGAUCACUUGAGGUCAGGGGUUCGAGACCAGCCUGACCAACAUGGUGAAAGCCAGUCUCUACUAAAAAUACAAAAAUUAGCUGGGUGUGGUGGGUUAUGCCUGUAAUCCCAGCUACUUGGGAGGCUGAGACAGGAGAAUCGCUUGAACCCGGGAGGCGGAGGUUGCAGUGAGCCGAGAUUGCGACAUUGCAUUCCAGCCUGGGCAACAGGAAUGAAACUCCAUCUCAGUUAAAAAAAUAUAUAUAUCACAAAAGGUGGAAGAUGGGAUUGGUUCUCUUCACUCAUUUUUUUCAAGCAAGAGACUUCUCAACUGUGUAUAUUUGUAUAU